GCCUCCUCAACCUCCACCUCCUACUCUACUCGUGUCUCAUCUUCAGUUUAAAAACAAAUAUUAAAAACUGAAGAACAGCGACUUAAACAUGAUGAAAACAACACGAAAGAACUCAGAACCUGCUGCUAAGGCCUUCCUCAGGUAUCUUUCUCAGGUGUGCCACUCUUACUUUCUUGAAUUACUUGAAUUUUCUCUCUCGUUCUCUGUCUCUCUUUCUGUCUGCCUUCCUCUCACACGUUCUCUCUUUCUCUCUUUUGCUUUUUAUCUCCCUCGUGUUCCUCAAAGCCAGACCAGCUGGCUUUGGAUGGCUUUCUUCUUGCCCCUGUGAGGCCUGACUUCACACUCUCGUCCCUGGGUCUUUCUGCCGGAAGGGAGCUGGGCGACAGAAGUUUGAAGGGUAGGAUCCCAGAUGGACGCUGACAUGCUGGGCAUGCGUGUAUGUGACAGGGCUUGGCUCAGGGGAGUGGUGGACCAGCCGCAGCUGUCACUCACCAAUACUGAGGGUGUUAGAUGUGUUUUGUGUUGUUAUUAUUAUUAAUAAAAGUCAAAAAUUGUGCUGAUCGGAGAACAACAAUGCCUGACUGUUCACAAGAGAUGGAAGAAAGAAGGAAAGAAUUCCCUGUCGGUUCGCGUUUUCAUAAUAAAGACUUGCCAGUGCCGGCACCAAUA